AGGAGGCAGGACAACAUUAGAAUUCAGCAGCGUGGCUGGACAGGAUUUAGAAUUUAGAAUUUAUUUAUAAACAGUGGCUUUCCUGCAUCCGGGAGGCAGGUGGAACCGAGUGAUGCCACAUGACCCAAACUCCGUGUUCCUCUGCUUCCCCACGUGUGAACUGGGUGCUGAUCCCGCUGCCCUCAGAGGUUCCAGGGAGUCACUAUAGUUUGACUCCCUCAGUACCCGAUCCCAGGCUCAUCCCUCCAGCCUCCCUGUUUUUUUUUGGAUUUGCGAGUGUCCAUACUUUCACAGACUUCCUUGGAGGUAGGGUGGCUAUUUGACCUGAGUCUGGCCAGAGAGAUGGACAAACUCAUAGAUGUCUCCUGGGUCCUUUCUUCCUGCCUUAAAAAUGGGUGUAAUCCUGGAACUGUGGCACCUGUCUGGCAAGGAGAGAAGAGGUCAAUGUCAGCAACGGCUUACCGGUUCUCUGAGCUUCUCGAGUGUGCAGAAGACAGAUCCGGGUUCGCUUAAGCUACGGCUGGUUUGUGGAGUUUCGAUUAACCUGUCUUCACUGAGCAUGACUCUGUCCUCGCCGCACUAAGUAAGCCCUUCGGCGACGUUCUUCAUUUCUGUCGGGGUAAUUUUUUUUUAUUGAUAACACUUCAUUUUGAUACUUUCUUAGUUUCAUCUCUCUGCUUGCAUUACCCACCUGCCCUUACAUGGUGUCUGUUUUUCCAUCAGAGCCCUUGACAUAUGAAUCAUACUCUUUUUAAUCCUGUGUGAUCAUUUCAAUUUCUAGGUCAUAUCUGAGUCUGGCCCUGACACUUGCUUGGUCUCCUCACACUGUGUUUUUAUUUCCUCUUGGCUUGCCUUCUGAUAUUCCGUGAGAAGCCUCGCACGCUGUGUUGUGCAAUAGGAAUGAAGGUACGUCCUGCUUUCUGGAACCGUCUCCCCCGGGGCCGGUCCUGCCGCAGCCCGUCCCACGGCCCACCGUGCGCCAGGGUACACAGAGGCUGCUUACGGCAGUGUCCAGGGAGCAGACUCAUGCCCGAUGGACAUCACCGUGAGAAAGACCCCAGCUUCAACCAUUAUCAGUAUUCCUGCCAGGGCGCCUGGGCGGCUCCUUAGGUUGAGCUCAGGUCAUGACCUCACGGUUCACGAGUUCCAGCCCCA